UUGACCGCUGGCGGCAGGCCUAACACAUGCAAGUCGAGCUUAUGAGUGGAGCUUGCUCCAUGAUUCAGCGGCGGACGGUGAGUAAUGCCUAGGAAUCUGCCUGGUAGUGGUGGACAACGUUCCGAAAGGAACGCUAAUACCGCAUACGUCCUACGGGCGAAAGUGGGAGAUCUUCGGACCUCACGCUAUCAGAUGAGCCUAGCUCGGAUUAGCUAGUUGGUGUGGUAAAGGCUCACCAAGGCCACGAUCCGUAACUGGUGUUAGAGGAUGAUCAGUCACACUC
rnacentral:rRNA from 1 species